rnacentral:tRNA from 1 species
ACCCCUAUAGCUCAGUGGUCUCAGAGCAGGCGGCUCUUAACCGUCGGGUCCCUGGUUCGAAUCCAGGUGGGGGUACCA